rnacentral:lncRNA from 1 species
UUUGGAAUUUGAAUGGGAAGGGUCCGGUUCCGGGUCCAUGUAUCUAUUAAAUAGGGUUUUUCUGAUUUGGGCCUCCAUCCUCUUCUCCUUUUAUUUCGUGAAUAACGAUUGGAUACACUUCAAUUAUAUCUCACUAUGGACCUUUAUUAAAUUAUCUUAGGUCAUUCAUAGUUUUCUAUUAAACAUUCUGUUUAACAAAAAAACUAGGGGGCAAUGUUAGGGCGUGAUAUUUCCUAUUUUGGGCCGGGUACAUUGGGCCUACUCACAUGAAGAAUCCAUUGGGCCUUUAUUUU